UCUAAGCAGUCCAUGGUGGAGGGAAACGUCAUUAUGGAGUGCAUGCUUGCCUGCCAAAGAAUUCAAACUGAGAAAACGUUUUUGAAGAAAACCUAUUUGAAAAGAGGUGCUCUAAGGUUCCUUUUGCACAAAGGCCAAAGGGGUAUGGUGGGCAGGUUUCCUGCUUCAUCUCAGGUCAAGAAAGUUUUGCCCGGAGCUGUACAGAGCUUGUUACAUGUCCCUUGCCAGGAAAAUGCACAGCAGACUGUUGUAUAACUUGCACCCCAAGAAUCUACAAGGCAAGGGAGAAGGAUAGACCAGCGGUGUCAUUAUCAGGGUGAAGGAGAGUUGUUGCUGCUCUCAGAUCAGCCUGUGCUCCCUGUUUGUCAGGACAAAGAAUCCAUCCACGUCUGGACCAUGAGUGAGGGGGCCUGCUUGAAGCCCCCUUAAACCUUGGAACAAUGGGUUUAAACUGAAGGUAGAAGCAACCAGAAGAAAAUGCAUUGCCCUCAACAUGGGAAGUGUGGUUGAAUGCCAUGGUGGGGGACAUUCCACACCUUUACACAUCUGCCAAGACAGAUAGUGGAAAGCCAUCUUCAACAGACCAGUUGGGAUAUUAUAUCAAUUUUUCUUACAAAAUUAUGCUGGAGGUAAUUAAUAUUGACUGAAUCGCAUUUGAGGAUAAUUAAGAAGAUGUUACAGAACUUGUCGUGAUAUGGAAAAUAAGCAUAUGAGAUGUUCCACAUCAUAAGUCAGCAGGAACGUACAAAUUAAAGCAACAGAGAGAUAUUGAGGUAGGUGGACUCUCCAGGAGACAGUGAGAAAGACACCAUAGCAGGGGAAGACCCAGAUCCAAGAGCAUGACCAUCCAUGCUUGUCUCUUUUGCCAGAUGAACAAAACCUCCAGUGCAUGUUUAUACCCAAUCGAUUAGAACAAAAACAAAAUCAAUAAAUGUCACCAGAUUCAAAGACUUACACAAUGUGUCCGCAACUGAUUUAUGACUAGAAUGCUUAACCUAGCAGAAACAUUCUGAACCCCAAAUAUGAAUGGGAUUUGAUUUUCACAAAAGCUGGCUUAGGAACCUGCACAUUUCUUCCCCAGAAAAAAAUAUAUAUCAAGGAAGCCCAACCCUCACAUGUCACUUGUCUUUUCUUCUCUUGAUAAGUGAGGGGCCUCCAUACCCUUCUUUGGGGAUGCAUAUACCUUUGUUACCAUAAUUUAUAAUAUAUAUAAUUUUUUACUUAUACCUUGCUUUCAAUGUGUCCUGAAAUUGCUUUCAAUGGUGUAAGGCCAGAACCUGCCCUGACCAAGCUAAGGUCCCAAUUCCCCCUUGGAGGGACUUCCUUGAACCCUUAUCUUAUGACAAUACUACUACAUGACUAUUAGAAAGGCCCAAAUCUAAAGCAUUGACAGCAUCAAAUGCUGACCAGGAUAUGGAGCAACAGGAACUCUCAUUCAGUGCUACCAGGAAUGCAAAAUGGUACAGCCACUUAGGCAGUUUCUCAUAAACUAAUCAUGCUCUUACCAAUAUAAUCCAGCAAUGAUGUUCCUUGUAUUUUCCAGAUGAAUUAAAAAUUUACUUGUACAUAAAAAUGUGUGGGUGUUUGUAGCAGCCUUCUUCAUAAUUGAGAAGUAUUGGCUACAACCAAGAUACCUUUGAAUAAGUGAGUAGACAAAUAAACUGUGGUACAUCCAGGCAGUGGAAUAUUAUUCAGUACUAAAAGUAAUGAGCUUUUAAGUCAUGAAAACAUGUAGAUAAGAGGGAAAUUUAAACACAUGUUAUUAAGUAAAGGAAGCCAAUCUGAAAAGACUACAUACCAUAUGAUUCUAUAUGACAUUCUGGAAAAAGGAAAACCUUAGAGACAAGUAAGAAGAUCGUGUUUACCAGACAACAGGGGAAAGGGAGGAAAUGAAUAAACAGCGCAAAGUGAUUUUAAGACAAUGAACCCUAAAGACAGAGUGAAUCCUAAGGUAAGCUGUGGACUUCCGUGUGUAAUGAUGCGUCAAUACAGGGGCAUUGAUUGCAACAAGGUAUCAUACCACUCUGAUGGAGGAAGCUAUGAAUGUGUGGAGGCAGGGGGUACAUGGGAAAUCUCUUUCCACUCAAUUUUUCUGUGAACUGCUCUAAAAAUUAGACCUUUUUCAAUAAACCAUACAUUUGUUGCUGAUUUUUUUUUUUAAUAAAAAGUGAGCAUUGGGCCAGACACGGUGGCACAUGCUUGUAAUCCUAGUGGCUCAGGAGGCUGAGGCAGGAGGAUCACAAGUUCAAAGCCAGCCUCAGCAAAACUGAGGCUAAGCAACUCAGUGAGACUCUGUCUCUAAAGAAAAUGCAAAAUCCUGCUGGGAUGUGGCUCAGUGGUUGAGUGCCCCUGAGUUCAAUCCCCAGUAAACCCCCACCACCACCAAAAACAAAAGUGAUCAUGGGUCUGAUAGACUUGAGAACUCUUCCUUUAGAAGAAAAUGAAGCCUGACUUUUUAGGCUGAAUCCAAAGGAAUUAACUAAUAUAAGAACUUAAACUUCAAAGAGUAAAGUUCACAGGUUUUUUUCCAAAUACCUGCUCUGAAUUACAAAGUUUCAGAAUAAAUGUAGUACUAUAUGUAUAAGACAUAGCCAUUUAUUCUGAAACUAUGUCUUGUACAUGAUACAAUUAUGUAAUUAUAUAUGCAUUCCACAUUAUAUACACUGUGUAUGCAUUCAUACUACUAAGGAUAAUGCAACUCUGAAUUCCAGUUAUUUCCUUCUAACCCAAUGAGAAGAGCAUAUGUCAGUUUUUUUUUUUUUUCAGUCAAGAUAGUACACAGUAAGUAGAACUUCAUCAUGAGAGCAUCAUUGUCAUACACACAGGAUUUUCUUUAGGCUUCCUAAUCAGGCCCUCCCUUCUCAAGCCUAAAAGUCCUGCCAGUGAUCACAGCACCUGGCUUGCUUGGGAGGUUUCAUCCUGGACCUUGGUGGAGGCCUGAUCUUGUUUUGCUGCAGUUGCUAUAGGAGCAGUCCCUGUUGCAGGGACAACUCCAUCCCUAAACAAAUAUAUGCAAAGGGCUGAGAAGCAGAUUUUAGCCUUCACUGCUUUAGACAUCAAGGAAUGAAAACAAUCUGUACAAUCCAAACAGAAUAAAUCCCAAUGCCCCCAAGGGAAGUGGGUGUUUAUUUUUAGGCUUUAAGCACCAGGACCCAGCUUCACCACUGGCCGACCUAGCACUGUGAGCGAGUCUGUAGAAUGGCCAGGAGCUGGGCCAGCGGAGGUGCAAAUGCAAACCAGCCUGGCUGGGAGCCUCUCAUCCUGGGGGGCCUCUCUUCCUGCGGCAGGGGCAUCUGCUUCAGCAGGGUUAAGCCAGGGUGGUCGUUGGCCCAGAGGUGUCCAAGCUGCAAAAAGUGCUGGAAUGCAGACUCCUUGCUCAGCGUCUUGGUCACCCUUGGUGUCCAGGCACUGGAGCCCGGAGGUGCCACGGGAUUGGGCCGAAAUGGUGGCGUAUACCGGGCUGGGACAGGGCCUGAAGCGGUCCUCAUCUCCUGUGGUGCCCUCCACCCAGGUGGGAAACAAAUUGCGCCUGCCUGGCCGGCCCAGGUAGAGAAGGGUGCGCCAGGUCCUCAGCCAGCCCAAAUCUCUCCCCCGAGAACCUAGAAGAGUGUGGACCAGCCCCAAGUCCCGGUGCAAAUGGGGCUGAGGGAAGGCAUCCCCGUCCCUUGCCUUAAAAAUUUAUGGCCUAAAGCAUCAUAAUCCUGCCUUAGUUUUGAAAUGAUAGUUUUGAAUAUCAGCAUACUAUUAUGAGCACAUACUUUUACAAAAUGGACUAUCUUUUUAGGGCAGCUUUAAGUUUACCAAAAAAAUGACCAGAAAGUCCAGAGAGUUCCUGUAUACCUAACUCCUUUUUGUGCAGUUUCUCUAGUAUAUUUGUCAGUACUGAUGAACCAAUAUUCAUACAUUAGUAUUAACCAGAUCCAGGAUAUAAAUUAGGAUUCACUGUUUUGUACAGUUGUAAGAAUUUUGACAAAUGCAUAACGGUCAUACAUCCCUAGUAACCACAGUUCCAAUCAGAGCUUCUCACAUAGUUCUAGAAGAAAAAACUCUUUUUUGGUGCCCUUUAACUUUCCCAUGAACUAAUGGCACAAAAACUGAUUAAAAAAAAAAUUCUAGGUACUUUCCUCGGGUUUCUGUACUACCAAUUGCAUCUACAAUAUUUGGGAAAAUAGAUAUAAGACCUAGUACAAGUUCCCAAACUUUAUUAGGGUAAAUAGUAACCAUAAAAGGUUAGAAAACAUAUCCAAAUACCCAACAUUUCCAUGUGGGAAGCCCAGUGACAAAAACCACUCCCUCUCACAAAAUGUGGCUUUUGCGAUGAUAAUGUGCAAUGGAAAUGUAUUUUAUAGAAUAAAAUGUUAAUGUUUUUAUACUGGGUCUUUGAGCCACUGGGAGGCUUUUAUCUCCCUUUCAAAAAUCUUGUGGAUUACCUAAGUUUGAACAUCACAGUGUCAUUUAUUAGACACAGAAUCUCAUCUAAAUUAUCUGCUCUAAGUGAAUGGAGGACUGUUGGGUUGAUCCAGUUGACAGAUGUCUUUCUUUCACAGAGUGGACUUUGCUCUUUAUACAUCUGAGAUAUGAGCAAAAUCAUGGUUUGAUGAGAGAUUUGUUUAUAUAAGAAAUUUCCCCUGAGAAAUUCCAUUCAUUUUUUUGUUAGCCUGUUUCACUAGACUCUGGAGCAUCCACUAAGGAAAAACAUGGGAAGGAGAAUGGGAAAAAAGCUAAACCAAAGGACACUAGGAAAUAGAAAACAUCUAGGGGUAGAAUAGCUUUCAUUUAAUACAAAUGAAACAUUACUAACUCAUUUAUCUACACUGUACAAACAAAGUGUAUUAUUAGAGGUUAACGGUCAUCUUUUUUUCUUCCCUAGUCAUCUAGCAUUGUUAUCAGCAAAUGGUCACAUUUGUUCUAUUUCUGACCAGAAAGAUAUAAUGUAAGGGAACAUAAGUGGGAAAAUUACUAAGGUGUCUCAUCAAUUAUCUGUAAAACCCCUAAACCUACACAUGCCAUAAGGAUUAGAGCCAAAGGGAAGUGGUGUAGUGAUAAAGGAUCCAAUAAGAUUACUAGAUUCCUAUAUUCAGUAUAUUAGAGGAAACAAUUUUCCAGGGCCAGAUCCCCUAUAAGUAAAUUACCAAACAUCACUUAUUACUUGGCCAAACGUUUGAUCACUAUCUAGGUUACAGUUUGCUAUAAAACUUACACAAGCACCUAAGUCACUGAACCACUUCUAUGUAAGUACAAGCAGGCUAUUCGUUGGCACGGAAGGUAUUCCGCAGCCCUGAGAUUUUGAUAGUCUUGAGUUUUCCCAGAACAUAUGUGCGCUCAAUAAAUAUUGUCCCCAGAGGUCAGCUAACCAGCAACUCUCAGUGUGCGCAGAGCACUGCAGCAAUUUUCCCUGAUGAGCUCAAGUGACUUAAAGAUUUGUUGCCACUUCUUAUUUUUAAAUAUCUUCAGGAUCUUCAGGUCUAUGACUCCUGCAUUCAUACAAGGAUAUGCACACAAGGUCGGGUGAGCAAAAUCAAUCUCCUCCCCUUUGUUAACUUGAUUAGUAGGCUGCUACAACCAAAUGCAUGUUAAAUUUCUGUGUCCCCUGGAAGGAAAUAGACUAGUAGGGAAAAAAUAUUCCUAAUAUUACUUUAUUUCACUAUAUAUAUUUUUGUUUGCUUGCUUGCUUGUCUCUUUUGUUAUUUUGUUAGUCAAGAAAGAAAACUAAUUUCAAGAGCCUUGCAUGGUGGCUUUUCUCUUGCUAUUUAUACCUAUUAAGUGAAUUUUACACAUCUAUUUAUGUUAUUGAACUAUAAUUUAUACAAAGUUAUGCUGUGUUAUUUAUUUAUACAUACUGGGGAUUGAACCCAGGGGCAUUUAACCACUGAGCCACAUGCCCAGCCCUUUUUAUAUUUUAUUUAGAGACAGGGUCUCGCUGAGUUGCUGAGGCUGGAUUUGACUUUGUGAUCCUCCUGUCUCAGCCUCCCCACCCCCCUGAGAUUGCAGGCAUGUGCCACCAUACUGGGCUGUUGUAUUUUCUAUGUGACUAUUUUGAAACUUAUUUUGUUAUUUAACAUUCCAUUGAGCAUCAGAAAUGUGACACAUACCAGCUUAUUUGAAUUUGGAUAUAAUUUCUGAUGAUCAUCUUUCAACUACUUCAUUGUUUUAUUAAGCAGUUUGAAAGGCCUAUUUGUACACUUUAAAAUUCUCUACAGUAAUCUGGCCAUUUUCUUUUCAACUUGGCAAUAAAAGUGCAGAAAGGGGUUGGAUAUUAACAGAAAAUGUCUUAAGAAAUUGGGAACAAUUGGUUCACUUACAUCCUUACACUUUUCAUUUGCAGGGAGAGUAAUGAAGUCCUGUCCUUAUAGUCAAAAGGCCCUCCAGCUGUGUCCUUCUGUACAUGUGAAUCACAUCCUCUGAGUGUCCUAUUGGAGGGGUUGCAUUGCAGUGAUGUGUUUAUGAAUUCUACAGAAUUCCUUAUAAAACAUGAACAAGGGGGCUGAGGCUGUAGCUCAGUGGUAAAGUGCUUGCCUUGUAUGUGUGAGACACUGGGUUCAAUCUUCAGCACCACAUAAAAAUAAAUAAAGACACUGUGUGUUCAUCUACAACUAAAUACACAUUAAAGAAAAAACAUGAACAAGUAAAUUUGGUGAGAUUCUUUUCAUCUACAGUAGGAUCUAACUCAUAAAAGAAAGUAAUUAAGAAUUCCAACAAAGAUAGAAAGAGCCUAUUCCUUGCCACCCACCCUCUCAACAGAGAGGUGAGCUUCGAUCAGGCUUUCUUCUGGUGACCCCCUAGAACUGCCUGCGAGGCUUAAGGAAGAGAGGUAACUCAUUAAUUUUGAGCAGAGUCAGAGCACAUGCCCAGUCAUCAGGGGACAAGCAAGGCCAGAGGGGAGAGGAUAGCACCUACUGGGAUUUUAGGCAAGCUGGGUUUCUUUUCCUUAGCUGUUGCUACAGUUUAGAUCUGAAAUGUCCACCAAAGACUCAGUCCCCAGUUUGGUGUUACAGGGAGGUGGUAGAACCUUUAAAGGGUGGGGACCUGGUGGGAGGUCUUAGGUUAUUGGAAGUGUGUCCUUGACACAGACUGUGGGACCCUGAUUUCUUUCUCUUUCAUACUCCUUCAUUUUUAGCCAUGAGGUGAGCAGCUUUUUCCACCACAGAGUCCCACCGUGUUGUGCUACCCCACCACAAACAAAGCAAUGGCGUCAACCAGUCAUCGAUUAAAACUUACAAAAUUGUGAGCCAAGAUAAACCUUUUCUUUUCCUUUUUUAAAAAAAUUUGUUAUAAUAUAUUCAUACAUUCACACAAUAAAACAGUAUAAUUUGAUCAAUUUCA